UCCCUGGUAGUCUAGUGGCUAAGAUUCAGCACCCCCAAUACAGAGGGCCCAGGUUCGAACCCUGGUUAGGAAA
rnacentral:tRNA from 1 species